AUUUGUUGUGUGCUUUGGUGUGACAUGCUGCUGGCUUCCUUGCACAUAGAGCCUAGUUGCAUACCAUUGUCGACCACUUGAGCCUUUGGGUCUGAUUUAUAUAAUGUUGGAAUAAUUGGGAGCUACCAUGUUUUACCUUUGAACAUAGACUAUCUCACCUUUGCGGCUAAUUUGGGUCCACAAAUGGGAACUGCCAUACCACUCUACAUUUUGUAGAGGUAUGGUGCAAUAAGUAAAUUCUCACCUUGCAGUUGAGCGGGAAAGGCGUUACCCCAUAAGUGAUCUUGACGGCCGCAGCUUGUGGGAACAAUUGUCACUUUUUCCACAUGAUGAGCAAUGUGCCAAACAUCAGAUGUUUUUUUUUCUUGCACAACAUAGAUGGUGGUAGAUAUCCUAUCAUCACUUCUAUUGACAUUUUCGACACUAAAUGGUAACAAGUGUUCCUUGUAUGUAGGAAACCUUUAGUUGCACACUCGCUCUGCCACUGUGGGCUAGUGUAUGAAGGCUCCAUUUAUGCAAGGUUUUCCUGUGGUUAAGACAAUCAUGGAGGCAUCUGCAGGUGUUUUAUGUAGAGUGUCUGCUUGUAUUCACCGUACGAAGCAAAGUCAUUAAGGCAUUUUUCUCCAUUUUCACAUUUUUCUUUGCAUUUUGCAUUUUACUAAUGUCUUGCGCACAUAAUUUUAGGUAAAUGGGACCUUCUGGGCACACUAGGUAGCAGGCCUAGCUUGUUCUUUAACAAUAUAGGAAGAUGAAAGUUCAGCUUACCUGGGGUCAUUAUAGCUACAGUAUAGUGCACUUGUAAUACAGCUUAGAACUUUACAUUGCACAUAACAGUAGAAAAUUCGGCGCUGUCAACUUGGGAAUGCAUUUCAUGAUCACUGCUAAUUGCAAUGCUGUCGUGCCAACUUACUUGUUACAGUGACAAUAUAAGCUAGUGGGAAGGAAAAAAAUGAGCUGUGGCACUGCGCCACAUGUACAUAUUUGUUUAUAGUACGUCCUCAUCCCUCCAAACCACAAUUGGCAGCUUCAAAAACUGAAGUGGAGUGAAGAUCUUCCUUACCACUUUCUACUCGCUCCUCUCGAACGGCUAUGCCCGCACACCGCUUGGGCUCAUGGUUGGUAGAGCAGGCAAGACAGCAAGGUUUAGGUGGUCACGGGGUGCAUGCUGGCCUUUUGACUUUUUCUGGUGUGUCGCAUGUAAUUGGCAUGCCUUUGCAACAUGAUUUUAGCCUCUUUCCACUCCCACUGGUUAGUCGAACGAGAGAGCUUGCAGAUAAACUUCCGGCACCUCCAUUUGAAACGUCGCUACGACACUACAAAGUGUCUGUUUCAAUGUUUCAGGGAUGAAGUCCCAUCACUAGUGGCACUAUUUGCUAAAACACUUGUGACACUGUAUGGUGGGCGUGUGGUCCCUACACACCCUGUGUAUAGUGCCAAUUGGGCCACCUGCAGGCGCCUCUGGAAGACUUCCGGCACGUUCAUUUGAAACGCCACUACGACACUACAAAGUGUCUGUCUGUUUCAGGGAAGCAAGUCCCACCACUAGUGGCACUAUUUGCUAAAACACUUGUGACACUGUUUAGGCGUGUGGUCCCUACACACCCUGUGUAUAGUGCCAGUUGGGCCACCUGCAGGCGCCUAUGGAAAGCUUGCUGCUUCUUGCUGUACUAGGUUUACUGGCUAAAAUGACAGUGGCUAUGCUUUGCUGCAAUAUUCUCAUUAUGGUUUGAAAUAACAAUUCAUGUUCCCCUUGCAGUAAAGGCGUAGCAAGGCCUAGCGAGCGCCUUGCAUGUUAGGGGAAAGAAACGGGGCUUAAAAACAGAACAGCAGCAGAUGACACAACCGAAUGGCGACGUCAGUUGCUGCUGUCCUGUUUAUUCUUCAAAAGCAAAAAGCUGUGAUAAUUUCCUAAGAACUAUGCUCAUUUUAUCAUAUCAUGCAAUAUGAUACAAUUCAUGCAGGCCUUCAACACUUCAGGUCAUAUAAGUGAAUUAAAUUGGUUAUCUCCGCUUUAAAUUGAUACAUUUAUCAAACACUUGGCAUGUGGGAAGAGCACAUAAUGAGCAGUAUGUCGUAGCCAAGCUUAGCUGCAGCAGAGUACGUUGUGUUGACCAAGGCCUUCAAAAUAAUUUUUUUGUGUGAGUCUGUGAUUUGUAUCAUUUUCUAAAUGCCCUCAAAAUUGUAUGCAGGCACCUUUUUCAUAAAGGGGCCCUGAACCACUUUUUAUCAAAGUGAAGAAAUGCAUUUGAAGUUAAAAUAGGCUAUUUCAGAAAUACUUUGCCGCAAUAAGUACUUCAAGGCGUUCAGCAGAAGCGGAGUUAUUGACUAUCAAACGCGCCUUUCGCGGUGCUUCCACUCCUUUUUCAAUGCCUUGCACUGUGAUGUAACGCUCUGCCUACUUAACAUCACCAUCACCGGGGUGCGCAGUUCAAAUUUCAUUUUGCAUGUAAACGUAGACGCCACUACUUCGGAUUUUGGUGCAUCCAACGCGCCAAACGUAAGCUAAAUACGGUUGUCCUCCGCAAGCCGCAGUGCGCUUAGCCCGUGGACUUGUCGCGGCACCCUGCAGCGGCUGCGUUGUCUACGUUACAUAGCAGACCGCAGAUACUUGCAAAUGUAGUGCAUAUGCGCAGCGUUUGCUUCGUGCAUGACAGGGCUUGAGUGCGUGCUCGUGCUCAUAUACUCCAGUCUGGCCAUGCUACGUGGUGCGGACCGGCUUUGUCUUGUAUCAGCUUGACUGGCGGAUAGUAGCCACAUCCAACUUCCACAUUUUGAAGCGCUAUCAAUAGCUCAAUAAGCGAAGUCUGCCAAGGAGUGGCCAGGAGUGAGUGCGUACUGGCAAGCAUGCAUGUGGCCUGAACUUAAAGGCCCCUCACCAGGUCUGGCCAUUUUGAGCUGACAAGCACAGUGCAUACGAUGUGUGCUAACGAUCGCGUCUGCUAAAUAUUACAUCCCCACUUGUCGGGAAAGAACUUAAAUUUUAAACCAAACGCCGUUUGCCCUUCUUGCGGGUGCCACUGCUCUUAUUGUCCUCGUUUGCACCGCAAUAACUGCCCAUUCUGAGCCUUACCUUGCGCUAUCUUUUUCUUCCUUAGCUUGCGCAAUUCAACAAUGCCCUGCAGCUUUGCUCUGUGGUCCCGCAGGUGGCGCUAGCAUUAGCGGUCGCUGAGGCCGAGCUGGAGUUUGAGCACCGGGCCCUACAUCAAGUAUAGUCCGCAGUCAAAUCAAAUGAAGGCUACUUGCGUCUGGCCGCUUGUAUACAUUUGUCGUUGAAUGUUUUUAGACUGAAGGGGGUCGCGGAGGCAGGGCAGCUUUCAGAACAUGCCGCAGUCAUCUGAUGUCGCGCCUAGAAAUUGACAAGCGACGGGCCCUCAAAGAGUAACGUUGAAUGUUUUUAGAUUGAAGGGGGUCGCGGAGGCAGGGCAGCUUUCAGAACAUGCCACAGUCAUCUGAUGUCGCGCCUAGAAAUUGACAAGCGACGGGCCCUCAAAGAGUAACAUAGUAAAAGUGUAAAAGAUAAGAGUGGCCACUCGAGCCAUUUCGCGGCCGAGUUUAAGGUUCCCCGAUUGCAGUAGGUGGCCAUACGUGUUUCACGAUGAGGUGGCUGCGGCCAUGGCUACGGCUGCGGCCAUGGUGGCCAUAUCUAGCAGAUUGACAGGCGGCACGACCCAGCACGUGCUAAGCCCCGUCAGCUGCACUCCCAGCUGUAGAGUCGACGUCUAUCGCGCAAGUGCUCCUACAUACAUGGCGGUACUGUGACGUCGCUCAUAAUGACACGUGACUUUGAGAAUUAUUCAAGGCAAUAUCAGGUAUUUGUUUAAUCUGUUGCUUCAAUAUACAAAUUAAAGUUUAGACAAAUAAUAAGACAUAGAAACCUAAUGUGUGGGUGUUCUUGUUUUUUGUUUAUACCAUAGCAAGAGAUAGGUACUUCCGUUAAGUCUGCUUGUUCCCACAUCGUGCAGUCGCGCGUGCAGCCAAUGAAACUCUCAUUUUCUACCAUGCCAGCACCGCUAUCAUGUUCUUUCAUCCUCUCACACUUGCCUCAGUGCUUGUGAUUGUGCCACUGAUCAGGUGUUCUCGUGCAAAGCAUGCAAAAUCGUCCGUUACGUGAAACGACACAAAUGUAACAGUUAGUGCGUGAGACCGUUACUGAAAGUGCGCCACUCAGCAAAAAUGCUAGACAAAGAGAACAGAAAAGGAGGGGCCCCUGACGUAUUCGUCACGCUAUCCCCCGGCUCCGGUAUGUGAGAACACAGGGAAGUAAUUUCGCUUGCGGAGGCUAGGCGUGUCUAUGUUGGCGGUUCUGCUCGCCUCGUGUCACAGCGCUUCAAAUAUUUCUAAUAAUGAAUUAAUUUGAAAAAUUCUUGCGGUAGAACACUCCUUAGAUUGCCCUAAACUUCCAGCGUAUAACCAAAAUUUGCUAUGUGGCCUGGGGAGAGGUCCUUUAACCCUUUGCGGUCCGUCCGACAACUCAAUACGGCUGUAGCGGUCUGCUGUUGGGCGGUCCCGACAAGGGUAGUCGGGGGUUAAAUUUUGCCGUUUUUCUCACUGCGAUUCGUGCGCAUUCUUUGUAUACAUGAUGCGCCAUCAUUUGAGGAAUAAAUAAACUGUUUUUGAAGUUUACUUCUUUUUACACUAGGGUGCGGCACAAUGUUCAGCACGUCUUCUGGUUAACAGAGCGUUCUCACUUGCGUGCAGAACUGCACGUUCGCGCAUUCGCUGAGAAGCAUGACCACUUUUUCACCGCGUGUGUUUUACGGUGAUGCAUUUAGUGAAAGCUUCUAGAGGUUUCCAUUGUCAAUAGCUUUAUUUUGAGGCACACACAGCUGCAGAAUCAUGGUGAUAAAGAACAGCAACACCUGCAGCAACACCUGCAGUACCGCCGCGACCUCAUCCAACAGGGCCGCGAUUUUGUAGCAAUUCCUUGUUCGACGAUAUUCCUUUUAGCACUUUUUGCGCUUUGGCAGUGGUCAGAACAGAGCCCCGGCCACGUUAUCAAAGCGAUCAGCCGGCCAUGAACGAUGGAUGAUAAGAGUGGUAUAUAAUCGAGCGGAAGGCAUCGCUACAAAAUCGCGGCCCAGCUGGUGGGCGACGUGAGGGCUAGAGCCAAAAAACGGGGCCCGUCUGCGCGGAAGGAGUGCGAGGAAAGGCUAGAUGGGAGGAGCCAUUUCAUCUACAAGCUCCUAGGUCGAAAUAGCAAGGACUGUGCUGUUUGUAGCGAUCUAAAAACAAACGGAGGCAGGAGGGAAACUGUGUUUUUCUGCACAACCUGCAGUAACAACCCUGGCCUUCACCCAGGAGAAUGCUUCGAGCGGUAUCACACGCUGCUCAAAUAUCGGUAGAGGAAUUGCCUGCAGAAUGCAAGAGAAAAAAUAAAUAUCCUUGAGUUUUUCUUCCACAGUUUGUGGUUUUCUUCGUGGUGCCACAAACAGGCAAAAUUGUUUCGGACCAGGACAGCCGGAAAGUGGGUAAAAGUUUCGGACCGCAAAGGGUUAAGUUUCGUGUGGUUCGAGGCUAGUUGAGCGUUCAAAACAAGUCGAAAUUGGUGAGACCCGACGGCUACGACACCGAUAAGCAGGGUGGCCAAACAUAAUUCCAACGAGGGUGGUUGCGGCCAAGUGUGAGUAGAUGAGAGUUGGCUUCUUUGGGAAGUACGUAAUUAUUAUUGCAAUCGGAAGCAGAUUUUUGCUUACGCCAACGUUUGCUAUUGAGAACACAAAAAAUCACCUUAUACAGUUAAGCUUCUUUUUUACCGGUUCAUACGUUCCCGGAAAACGCGGUCUUUCGGUACCAACAUUUGUAGAUAGCCAAACUGAUCGUGAGGAAUAAUGCCUAUGCAGGUGAGAGUGUAGAGGACGUUUACUAAGGUAUUUAACCUUUUUUUUUU